rnacentral:pre_miRNA from 1 species
AGUUUUCUGAAUCCGUACCGAGAUUUCGUCAGUCACCAGACGAUCAGUACUAAGGAGACUCUCAAGACAAGUGAAGCG